rnacentral:rRNA from 1 species
UCGCACCUACCGAUUGAAUGGUCCGGUGAAGCCUCGGGAUUGCCAUGAGUUUCCUUUGUUGGGAGUUGGCUGUGAGAACUUGUCCAAACCUUAUCAUUUAGAGGAAGGUG